CUACGGGAGGCUGCAGUGAGGAAUAUUGCACAAUGGAGGAAACUCUGAUGCAGCAACGCCGCGUGGAGGAGGACGCAUUUCGGUGUGUAAACUCCUUUUAUAUGUCAAGAAAAUGACGGUAGCAUAUGAAUAAGCACCGGCUAACUCCGUGCCAGCAGCCGCGGUAAUACGGAGGGUGCAAGCGUUACUCGGAAUCACUGGGCGUAAAGGACGCGUAGGCGGGAUAUCAAGUCAGGUGUGAAAUCCUACAGCUUAACUGUAGAACUGCACUUGAAACUGGUAACCUAGAGUAUGGGAGGGGGAGAUGGAAUUAGUGGUGUAGGGGUAAAAUCCGUAGAUAUCACUAGGAAUACCUAAAGCGAAGGCGAUCUCCUGGAACAUAACUGACGCUAAGGCGUGAAAGCGUGGGGAGCAAACAGGAUUAGAUACCCGAGUAGUC
rnacentral:rRNA from 1 species